GCCGGGGUAGCCUAGCCAGGUAAGGCGACAGCCUCGAGAGCUGUUGACCCUUUGAGGUCUCGAGGGUUCAAAUCCCUCCCCCGGCGCCA
rnacentral:tRNA from 1 species